rnacentral:rRNA from 1 species
UAGGGAAUCUUCGGCAAUGGACGGAAGUCUGACCGAGCAACGCCGCGUGAGUGAAGAAGGUUUUCGGAUCGUAAAGCUCUGUUGUUAGAGAAGAACGUUGGUAGGAGUGGAAAAUCUACCAAGUGACGGUAACUAACCAGAAAGGGACGGCUAACUACGUGCCAGCAGCCGCGGUAAUACGUAGGUCCCGAGCGUUGUCCGGAUUUAUUGGGCGUAAAGCGAGCGCAGGCGGUUCUUUAAGUCUGAAGUUAAAGGCAGUGGCUUAACCAUUGUACGCUUUGGAAACUGGAGGACUUGAGUGCAGGAGGGGAGAGUGGAAUUCCAUGUGUAGCGGUGAAAUGCGUAGAUAUAUGGAGGAACACCGGUGGCGAAAGCGGCUCUCUGGGCUGUAACUGACGCUGAGGCUCGAAAGCGUGGGGAGCAAACAGG